UCUCAAUGUUAACGGUGUGACCGUCCUAAGGAUAACGGGGGAGUGUUGGAAACGGCACCGUUAGAGAUCCCGCUCUUCCGGUGUUCGUGUAGUAGCGUGAGAUCCAUUUCCACACCAGCGAUCUCAUUGUCCCCUCUCUCCUCUGGUCUUCAUCCAACAACGAUUCGAAAAUCUAAGCUGAAGAAUUAGGGUUUUGGCUGAUAGAUUUUAUAGCUGCUCAUUGUCUUGUUUCCUCGUUCGUUAAGAAAAGAGGUUCUUUUCGCUUGAUGUGAACUGAACUGUGAAACCAAGAAAGUCUAAGAAUGUCAACAGAGGGAGGCAAUAUUGGUGAAAUUCCAGAGAAUCAUAUGGAGGAUACUUUGAAACCUGCAGAGCAAAAUUUGUCUGAACUGCAUCAUGGGACCAAUGGAAAUCUUCCCUUGGAAGAUGGACUAUGUGGUGGCAGCCCAUAUUCAAGUGAGGAUCGUGAUCAGCUUGAACAAAUGGCCAUGGAAUUAACAUUUCAGAAUGAGUUCUUGAAGUCCCAAUUUCAAGGCGUCAAAAAUUUCCAACUGAUGUCUAAUGUAGCUACUGAACAUAGAGGAAGUGAGCAGGAACGUGCACAAAAACUUCAGGAAAGGAUAGAAUCUUUAAAUAAGCAACUUUUGGAAGAAAAGCAAACACGUAGUGCAGCAGAGGAGGCUUUGAAGCAUCUUCAAACAUUAUACUCAGAGGCAGAUGCAAAAGCCCAAGAACUCUCUGAAAAGCUUGUUGAAGCUGAACAGAAGUUAAAUCAAGAAAUAAAAGACCGUGAAGAGAAGUACUCUGAGCUUGAUUCAAAAUUGAACCGGCUUCUCAAGCGAGCAAAACAUCGUAUUCAAGAGGUUCAAAAGGAAAAAGAUGAACUUGGGGCCCGAUUCCAUGAUGUAAGUGAAACGGCUGAACGAGCAGUAUCCCAGCAAUCAGCAUUGCAGCAGGAGCUUGAGCGCACUAGGCAACAAGCAAAUGAAGCAUUGAAAGCAAUGGAUGCGGAGAGGCAACAAUUAAGAAGUGCAAACAACAAACUCCGAGACAACAUUGAGGAAUUGCGACAUUCAUUACAACCAAAAGAGAGUGCUCUUGAGGCAUUGCAACAAACACUUUUGGAGAAGGAUCAGAUGUUGGAAGAUAUGAAGGGAUUACUGGAGGCUGCUGAGGAGAAAAGGAAAGCAUCAAUUGCUGAACUCUCUGCUAAACAUCAGAAGAACUUGGAAAGUUUGGAAGCCCAGGUUGCUGAUGCUUUAUCUGACAGAAAUAAAGCAACUGAAACUAUUUCUUCACUGCAGGUGCUGGUUGCAGAGAAAGAGUCAAAGAUUGCAGAGAUGGAAGCAGCAUCAAGUGGGGAAGCAGCACGGCAUAGAGCUGCUGCUGAAUCAGUUAAAGGGGAGCUCGCUCAUAUGAAGCAUGAGCAUGAGAAAGAAAAGGAGAGCUGGGAGGCUGCAUUCCAGGCACUCAAAACAAAGCUGGAAAUUUCUGAAAGUAACUGUAUACGUGCUGAAAUUGAAGCAGCUAAAAUGAGAAGCCAGCUGGAAUCAGAAGUAUCUGUGAAAACCCAAAAGUUAAAUGCAAGAGAUGUUGAACUAGCAGCUGCACAACAGGAGAUCAACCGCUUAGAAAGUGAAUUUUCUUCCUACAAAAUCCGUGCACAUGCACUUUUGCAAAAGAAGGAUGCGGAACUAGCUGCAGCUAAAGACUCUGAGCAAGUGAAAGCUCUUGAGGAAGCACUUAAAGAAGCUGAAAAGGAAGCAACAUUAGCAUAUGCUGAAAAGGAGAGAGCCCUUCAAGAGCUUCAGGAUGCUUUGGCUAAUCAUGAUAAAGAACUUGCCGAAAGAGAUGCAGUUAUUAGCAAUGCCAACCAGCAGAUCAAGAGCUUAGAAACAAAGCUUGAUUCUGUUAAUAGACGCCAUUUAUCAGAUAAAGAAGCAUGGGAAGUGAACCUUCAUAACUUGGAAGAAACAUGGCGAUUAAGAUGUGAUGCAUUAAGAGCUCAAAAUGAAGCAUCUUCUGGUGAAGAUCUACGAAAAGAAUUAGAGGAGCUCAAAUUACGGUACAAGAAAUUGAAGGAUGAGCAUGCUUCAUUUCGUGAUCUUGCUGAUAGGAUGAUUGAGGAGAAGGACAGAGAAAUUUCUAGACUUGUGGACGAUAAUAAGAAUCUCCAAAGACAUUUGGAAUCAAGACCACCGGCUGAUCAGAAUGAUAAUUACAACACAGGCAUGCAGAAACAGGAUGCAUCUUUAAGUGCCUCUGCAGCAGAACAACAGAUCCUGCUGUUGGCAAGGCAACAAGCCCAGAGAGAGGAGGAGCUAGCACAGUCACAGCGGCAUAUUCUAGCACUUCAAGAAGAAAUCGAAGAGCUAGAGCGUGAGAACCGUCUCCAUAGCCAACAGGAAGCCAUGUUGAAGGCUGAGCUUCGCAACAUGGAAAGAUCACAGAAGAGGGAAGGGGUAGAUAUGACAUAUUUGAAAAAUGUUGUAUUAAAGCUUUUGGAAACAGGUGAAGUGGAGGCUUUACUACCUGUAAUUGGAAUGCUUCUUCAAUUUAGUCCUGAAGAGAUCCAGAAGUGUCAACAAGCCUACCGUACAUCUGCUGCUGAUGUUCCCAGCCCAUCUGGUGAUGGUUCAGGAUCUGCUCGCUCACUCUUCUCAAGAUUCUCAUUUUCAUAAGCAAAAGGACAUUAUGUAGAGAAUUCUUUGUCGCUAUGAGAACUGCGAGCAACUGUAAUUCCGCUGUGGCGAUAGAUAUUGGCACUGUGACUCCAGAUUCAAAAGCAGAGAAUCGAAAAGGAUAUUCAUCAAUCAUUUUCGCGGUCCAAAAUGUGGUCUAUACAUGGUUGGUGGACUGGUGUUGGUUCGGCGUCAAAGUUGAAAUGUUCAAACUUUUACUCCAUAACAUAAUAUUGUUCAUCAUUUUCCAUCAUCUAUAUACAAUAUUAUUCUUUUUAUUUAUUUAUUUCUUAAGUAAUUGGAUCAAGAUUCAAGAUAACCGUAAUUACAAUUUGCCUGUGACCAAAAUAGAUCUAUCUAUAUUCUAUUGAAGUUAAUAGUUCCUCCUCGGAUUUAUCCAUGACCUUUUGAUCUUUAAGGAUCCACACCCAUGUCCGUGAAAAAAAGUCAUAGUCCCACCUGACACCCCCCUCAAAUUCAAUGGGUUGGGGACUGGCAACGAGACCGUGAGGGAUGAUGUUAGCCGACAUACCUCUUUUGAGGGUGAGGCUGGGUUUGGCAUUAACAUAUCAGAACGAAGUUCACUGUGGAAAUGGACCAAUUACCGAAUCAAAAAGUCGCUGAACAUAUUGUAACACGAUUUCUUUUUUAAGCCCUUUUAAGGUAAAUUACAAUUUUAUUUCGUACUUUCCAUAAUUAAAAACACACGUAGAAUUGAGAUUUGUGUCUUCUAAUUGGAAAGAAAAAAACAAAUAAUAGUGAGGAAAUUGAGCCAUUCAUUUACUAAUAUAUGAGGAAGUUUUGUCCUAAUGACUAAACUUGCAUAAUAUUAACUUCAACUCAAUUUAUGAAAAUUGCGCAAGUGAUUACUGCUCACUUGUAUCGAACAACAAUCAUUCCCCAAGAAAAGAAAAAGAGGAAAAAUAGAAUAAGCAAAACAAACCCAUUAAAAAAACCAAAAAAAAAAAGGCAAAAAAGCUGCAAACUCUAGUAGAAUAUAGAGAGGGCAGAGGCAAAUUGGCAGAGUAGCGUGAUUCAAAUUCAAGCAUGCCUGGCCUGGAAAUCUUUCAUGAAAGCAA